rnacentral:lncRNA from 1 species
UCAUUCCAAAGGGUCAGUCAUCCCUAAGGAAACAGUCUUUGUAAUGGAUUGAGCAGCUCCUCCAGCCAUCUGAAUCACCAGUGGAUAAUACUAGCCAUAACAAUCAUAACUGAAUGAAAAGGUUGUGGCCCAAGGAUUAAGCUUCCUGCGGGCAUUCCCUCCUGAUUGAAAGGCCUUUUUGGAUGGAAGAAAAUGGAGCUGAAGCAUCCAAUUGACACGAGGGUCAUUCAACAAAGGAAGAAACAAAAUUGGGAAGAAAAGAGGAAUUUUCUUCCUUUGCUCCUCUUCCACCACCACAGUAUGACAAACGCUGGAAGCAUCUAA